rnacentral:sRNA from 1 species
UAUGAUCCACCAGAAGCAGCUUCGAAGC